UGGAGGAUGCCUUGGCUCUCAGAGACGAUGAAGGACGUGAUAAGCUGCGAUAAGCCACGGGGAUCAGCACAUAUGAAUUGAUCCGUGGAUUUCCGAAUGGGGCAACCCGGUGCCGUGAAGCGGCAUCAUCCUUUCGAGGAAGUGAACCCGGAGAACUGAAACAUCUAAGUACCCGGAGGAAGAGAAAACAAUAGUGAUUCCGCAAGUAGUGGCG
rnacentral:rRNA from 14 species